AACGUAGGUUCCGAGCGUUAUCCGGAUUUACUGGGCGUAAAGCGCGUUCAGGCGGUUUGGCAAGUCGGGCAUGAAAUCUCUCGGCUCAACCGGGAGAGGUUGUCCGAUACUUCCAGACUUGAGGGCAGUAGAGGGUGGUGGAAUUCCGGGUGUAGUGGUGAAAUGCGUAGAUAUCGGGAGGAACACCUGUGGCGAAAGCGGCGCACUGGACCACAACUGACGCUGAGGCGCGAAAGCUAGGGGAGCAAACAGG
rnacentral:rRNA from 1 species